AUUGAACGCUGGCGGCAGGCCUAACACAUGCAAGUCGAGCGGAGCGGCGGACGGGUGAGUAAUGCCUAGGAAUCUGCCUGGUCGUGGGGGAUAACGUCCGGAAACGGGCGCUAAUACCGCAUACUAUCAGAUGAGCCUAGGGCGGAUUAGCUAGUUGGUGGGGUAAAGGCCUACCAAGGCGACGAGGCGUAACUGGUCUGAGAGGAUGAUCAGUCACACUGGAACUGAGAGACGGUCCAGCCUCCUAGGGGAGGCAGCAUUGGGGAAUAUUGGACAAUGGGAGAAAGCUUGAUCCAGCGAUGCCGCGUGUGUGAAUAAGGUCUGCGGAUUGUAAAGCACUUUAAGUUGGGAGGCGUUACCAACAGAAUAAGCACCGGCUAACUACGUGCCAGCAGCCGCGGUAAUUC
rnacentral:rRNA from 1 species